ensembl:lncRNA
CGGCCUAGGCCACCGGGGUGCAACGCAGGAAAAUAAAAAUAAGGUAAAAAAAACACACGAGAAAAAACUAAUACGGGUUUCCACAAAAAUCAUCCCAAAACGACCACUAUUUUCUUUAAAGCAAAAUGAUAUUUAUUUACAACGCAAGGCGCCAAACUAUUUACAACGGGGGGGGAAGAAGAUCGCGACCAUGACAACUGACACACAGGGCUUAAAUACAUGGAGGGAACAAUCAGGGAAUGGACAACAGGAGGGAAACACAGCUGGGGCAAAUCAGAACUGACGAGACAGGGAAAAUGUAAACUGAACACACUAAGAUGACACAGACUUUCAAAGUAAAGUAGGAAACACAUAACAGUCACGCAAAAACAACACAUUACCAACGCCAAAUCGUCAAUCCCGGAGGAGCACCUAGACACUCAAAUCCACACACAAUUACGGUCACAGCCGUAACACCCCCUUACCCAAGAAUUAACAUUAACCCCAAAAUGUUUAAUUCAAGGAAACACCCAAAAAAAACAAACAUUUAAAACAUACAACCCCAACGAAAAAUGUUUGUUCCAUGUCCAGCCCAUACGGCACCGGCCACCGUCCCGCAGGCGACGCUGAUGACUGGACGGGUCCUCCAGUGGAAACGGAAAACCGGAGCGGGCCCUCGGAUCCUCCAGCGAAGACAAACGAAGCCGAUGAAGGCUGGAGCGGUCCCUCGGACACUCCAGCGAAGGCGGAUGAAGGCUGGAGCGGUCCCACGGACCCUCCAGCAGACGACGAAGGCUGAGGCGGUCCCUCGGACCCCCCAGCGAAGGCAAAUGAAGACUGAAGCGGUCCCACGGACCCUCCAGCGGAGGCAGAUGAAACUGAUGGAGGCUGGAGCGGUCCCCCUGACCCUCCAGCAGACGACGAAGGCUGAGGCGGUCCCUCGGACCCCCCAGCGAAGGCGGAUGAAGGCUGGAGCGGACCCACGGACCCUCCAGCGACGGCGGACGGCUGAAGCGGUCCUCGGACCCCACAGUGAUUGGACGAGCCCCCAUAUGUUACACCCCGGCCUAGGCAACCGGGGUGCAACGUAGAAAAACAAAGAUAAGAAAAAGACACACGAGAAAAAAAACUAAAGCUCUCCACCAAAAUCC